rnacentral:rRNA from 1 species
UAAUACGUAAGUUGCAAGCGUUAUCCGGAUUUAUUGGGCAUAAAGAGUGCGUAGGCGGUAUUUUAAGUCAGAUGUAAAAUCCCACAGCUCAACUGUGGACUGCAUUUGAAACUGAUUUACUAGAGACUAGGAGAGGAAAGUGGAACUCACAGUGUAGCGGUGAAAUGCGUAGAUAUUGUGGGGAACACCAGUGGCGAAGGCGGCUUUCUGGACUAGUUCUGACGCUGAGGCACGAAAGCAUGGGGAGCGAACGGGAUUAGAUACCCCGGUAGUCCAUGCCGUAAACGUUGUUCACUAGGUGUUGGAGGCAUCGACCCCUUCAGUGCCAAAGAUAAUUCGUUAAGUGAACCGCCUGGGGAGUACGACCGCAAGGUUA